UGAAGCGGCAAAAGCUCAAAUUUGAAAUCUGGUACCUUUGGUGCCCGAGUUGUAAUUUGGAGAGUACCACUUUGGGACUGUACUUUGCCUAUGUUCCUUGGAACAGGACGUCAUGGAGGGUGAGAAUCCCGUGUGGCGAGGGUGUCAGUUCUUUGUAAAGGGUGCUCGAAGAGUCGAGUUGUUUGGGAAUGCAGCUCUAAGUGGGUGGUAAAUUCCAUCUAAAGCUAAAUACAGGCGAGAGACCGAUAGCGAACAAGUACAGUGAUGGAAAGAUGAAAAGAACUUUGAAAAGAGAGUGAAAAAGUACGUGAAAUUGUUGAAAGGGAAGGGCAUUUGAUCAGACAUGGUGUUUUGCGCCCCUUGCCUCUCGUGGGCUUGGGACUCUCGCAGCUCACUGGGCCAGCAUCGGUUUUGGCGGCCGGAAAAAACCUAGGGAAUGUGGCUCUGCGCCUCGGUGUAGAGUGUUAUAGCCCUGGGGAAUACGGCCAGCCGGGACCGAGGACUGCGAUACUUGUUAUCUAGGAUGCUGGCAUAAUGGUUAUAUGCCGCCCGUCUUGAA
rnacentral:rRNA from 1 species